rnacentral:rRNA from 1 species
UACAGAGGUCCCAAGCGUUGUUCGGAUUCACUGGGCGUAAAGGGUGCGUAGGCGGUCGGGUAAGUCUGACGUGAAAUCUUCAAGCUUAACUUGGAAACUGCGUCGGAUACUAUUCGGCUGGAGGAAUGGAGGGGAGACUGGAAUACUUGGUGUAGCAGUGAAAUGCGUAGAUAUCAAGUGGAACACCAGUGGCGAAGGCGGCUUCCUGGACCGGUUCUGACACUGAGGAGCGAAAGCGUGGGGAGCGAUCCGG